rnacentral:rRNA from 1 species
UCCUAGCAGUAAACGCUGCGAGCAAGGUGUUGCGCAUCCUACGAGGAUGUGCAGUAUCGAAGAGAAGUCGUUAAGCUCGCCGCCUGGGAAGUACGGUCGCAAGACUGAAACUUUAAGGAAUUGGCGGGGGAGCACCACCAGGGGUGCGGCGUGCGGUUUAAUCUAACUCCACGCAGAGAACCUUACUAGAAGCGACAGCAGGAAGAAGGUCAGUCUGAAGGGCUUACCCGACG